rnacentral:lncRNA from 1 species
GGGAGACCUGGAAAGGGGAUAACAUUUGAAGUGUAAAUAAAUUAAAUAUCCAAAAAAAUAAUAAUAAAUUAAAAAAAUAAAAAACAGGCAAAAAGAAUUAUAAAUAAAUCUUCCCACAAACUAGACAACAUGCCACAAAGUAACUAUUUAAAACAAACAAACAAACAAACAAAACAAAAAACAAAAAAAAAACCCUCAUUUUGGCCAAUUAUUUCUUUUUAUAGUAAUAUAAUAUACUACUUCUAAUAACAACAUCAGCAAUAAGAUUUUAAUCUUAUGAAAGAGUGGUUUGUGUGAAAUCACAGAGAACCGAGUGGAAAAUUACCACUAGAAUAUAAUUGUCUCAGUCCUAGGCUCAUGUCCAUUACGGUUUGUAUUCUUUUUUUUUUCUUUUCUUUUGUUUUUCGAGACAGGGUUUCUCUGUGUAGCCCUGGCUAUCCUGGAACUCACUCUGUAGACCAGGCUGGCCUCUAACUCAAAGAUCUGCCUGUCUUUUCUUCCGGAGUGGUGGGAUUAAAGGCGUGCGCCACCACGCCCGACUUUACGGUUUGUAUUCCUUGAAACCCUACUGAGCUAAGUCCUGAACCAAACUUCACAGUGUGCGCGGACACUGCUUCCUGCACAUGCGCAUUUCCCUCACCUCGCUUCAUGGCUCUGGGACUGCUUGGCCCACUGCGACUGCGCGCAUCUGACUCCGACAGCCGGGAGCUGGACCUAGAACUGUCCUCUUCGUCUGAGCCCGAGGAGUCAUCCAGGAAAGGGCUGCUACUUAUUUGUGUCGCCUUCUAGAGAAAAAAACAAAACAGCCCCCCUGUGUCCACCUCUAAAGUCACUGUCCUCUUUACACAGGCAAUGCUUUACAGAACGUGGCUACUGGUACGUAUUUUAAAAGAAAGAAAAUAUCGUAUUUUGACAUCAUGAAAAUCUGUCUUCAAAACCUUAGAUUUUAAUUAGCUAGGAAUUUGUCAAUUAUAAAAGAUUCUUGAAAACAUAAGACUGUCAAUAUCUGACAGUCCUUGUUUUAAUUAGGUUCUUCUAGCAAAGAAGGGGACCUUGGCAGGAACGCAAAGACCUUUCUAAAUUAGGAGUUUCCAUUGCAUCAUUAAUAAUAAGCUAACGUCCCAGGGUGGGGCUAAAGAGAACCAUGCCAUAAUCACCUUCUCCGGGCCUUCUUGUUUCUUCUUCCUUUUAAUGAUAUAUUGAUGUGAUCAUUAAAGCUCUACAAAGAGGGGGAUGGAUGUAAGAAUGCCAAGAGUGGAGUCCCUGACUAUCCUAGAGAAAACCAUAGGUCUAACAACGAGAAAUGCGCUCAUUACCCCCUUCAACGUUGUAUAGACUGGGGUCGUCAUGUUCUUGUAUAUGAGAGACGUAUAAAGGCUUGCUGCAGAGUAGGAAAGUAUGUCUGCAGAAUCUGAAACAGAAAAGGACAUUAAGGAAAUUCCUUCCAACUAGCACACUGGUCUAUUGCUUACGAAUAUAUAUACUGAAAAGAAAUCAGAUUAAUCGGUAGUGUUGAUUAAUAUCAUUCUGCUUUACGCCAUUUCUAGAACCGUGGCUACACUUUUUUGUCAAUGUGUGACGGGGUCUUUCUGUGGAGCCUAGGCUGGCAUCGAGCUAGCAGUGUUCCUCCUGCCUAGACUCCUGAUUGCUGGCAUUAGAGGCAGCAUAUCCAGCUACAGAUAGACACUUCUGUGUGAGUUAUUUUGUUUUAUGAUUUUGAGACAGGGUCUCACGUAACCCAGGCUAGCCUUGAUCCUACUACGUUGCUGAGGCUAGCCCUUAACUCUAGAUCCUCUUGCUUCAACCUACCAAGCGUUGACCUUAUAUUUUUUAUAGUGAGAACGAUUAUUUCUAUAAUAAUUUUUGAAGGAAAGGGGAAAAUAAUAUAGAAGCCAGUAUUUUAAAAUAAUUUUUGUAGCUUAAAACAGAUAAAAUGCCCUUGUCUUUCUACUUUGCCUUGUGUGGGAGGGGACGGGGACGGGGGUUUAAAAAACAGAAAAGUACAUUCUACAUCAGGUCUGAAUAUAUUCAUGCCUUUAUCCUAAAAAAUAAAUAUCAGUUUUAACACAAAUCCUGAACACUUACAUAUUUCCAUUUUUCUAGUAACAUUAGACAUUUAGGAAGCUCUUGCCUAGUGAAACAGCAAUACAAAAUCAUGUAGUUAAAAAAAAAAACCUCUUAUUACAGUAUUUUAAAGCCAUAAAUAGUAAAACUUACUGUCGUAAGCAUUUUACAUUUAAUAAGGUAGAGUUUAUUCGCCCUGUUGUAAAAGAGACCUCUACAACUUCUGAAAUUUUAUACCCACUAAAGCGCAUUUCCCCUUCCCUGAUUUCCUAACUCCCUGUGAGCAUCCUCCUAUGUUGUUUCUGUGAUUGGUUGCUUUGAUGAAUUCUGUAACAGAAUUCUGCGCUCCUGCCUCUCUGUGGCCGCAUCCCAUUUUCUCUGAGGCGUACCCGUCCUCAAGGCUCACCCGCAUCACAACAUGCAAAGACAGCACUUACUUUUAUUAGCAUGCUCCAUAUUGAAGGCCUCAGACACCCGGAUGCCUGAUUUGGCUACAGCAUAUAUCCUGCUCUCCUAAUAUAAAAGAGAGAUUGCACCAGGCACUUACAGCCACGAAAUGAUUACAGUGAACACAAUACUCUUCCUUUGUUCUUCAGAUAACAUCCACUCAAAUACAAAAUCCUAGUUAGCACAGAACUCAGCGGUGCUGAUAAAAAUGCGCCGGUGUGAACAGCUCAUUCAGCAGCCAUUCUAUUAUCUGUUUUUGUUCCCAAACUUUGGCCUGGUAUCUUGACUUUGGGUGACUUAAGAACAAGCAUAAGAGAGCUUACUGCCAAGCACUGAUUUUAGGUAAACCCCCUUCUUUAACACUGUAACAUUCUAUAUGUGGUUAAAGGGGGAAACCCUGGAUACCUGUAGCAAUGAAGCCAACUGCUUACAGUCACUAAUUACACACAGAUAUCACCUUUAAUAUCUGUUACCAUGGCUAGGAUAGAAAGGGGGACUAUGUAUAUGCGGAAUCACAGCAGAGCAUUCGAUGUUACUGCCUUCUUAUUCAAUGUACAUUUCAAUAAAAUAAAAGACUUUGGGUCUAAUAAUAAAUGGAUUUGAGAA